AGAGCACUCCUACGGGAGGCAGCANUGGGGAAUAUUGCACAAUAGGGGGAAACCCUGAUGCAGCCAUGCCGCGUGUGUGAAGAAGGCCUUCGGGUUGUAAAGCACUUUCAGUAGGGAGGAAGGUAGUGUAGUUAACACCUGCAUUAUUGACGUUACCACAGAAGAAGCACCGGCUAACUCCGUGCCAGCAGCCGCGGUAAUACGACGGGGUGCAAGCGUUAAUCGGAAUUACUGGGCGUAAAGCGUGCGCAGGCGGUCUGUUAAGCGAGAUGUGAAAGCCCGGGCUCAACCUGGGAACUGCAUUUCGAACUGGCAGACUAGAGUCUUGUAGAUGGGGGUAGAAUUCCAGGUGUAGCGGUGAAAUGCGUAGAGAUCUGGAGGAAUACCGGUGGCGAAGGCGGCCCCCUGGACAAAGACUGACGCUCAUGCACGAAAGCGUGGGGAGCAAAACAGGAUUAGAUACCCUGGUAG
rnacentral:rRNA from 1 species